ACUGAAGUUGGAUACCUCAGC
rnacentral:siRNA from 1 species